CGGGUGCACGGAGUCUAGCUUUCCAGGUUUCUCAUUGGUCAGGAGUCUAGCUUUUAGUCUAGCUUUUUGACCUUCCUAUUGGUCAGCAGUCCAGCUUUCGUCACAGGCCGACCAAUCAGUGCCCUUGACGCAAAGAUUGAAUUCUUAGCCGGUCUGCGAGCUGAGUGUCCGCCAUUGUUGGGGUCUCGCUAAAGCGAGCAUCUUUUGGGAGUUUUUGCCUACCCAAGAAGAAGACGCGACCGGCCAUCGGUCAAGUUUUAGUCGGAAGGAGUUUUGCUUGCUAGGAUUUGAGCUCAACAAAAGGACAGGGGACAACCGACGGGGGAGGGGGGCAUCAUGGCGGAUCCCCUCAUGCCAGCCUUGUGUAUCAAGGAUGUCAGUGUGCAGACACACAGACAGCAAAGUCAGCUGGCUCCAACAGAAGAGGCAAAGGCAGCCAAGAAGGUUCCCAGGUCCUACCCGUCGCCGUCGGUGCCGCAGGAAUUUAUGGAGGAAAAAACAGCCCUUCAAGAAGCCAAGGGACGCUGUCGCCAGUAUUCUGCACAGCAAGUGCAGUACCACGGCCAGGUAGUGUUGACUUUUGGCAAGUACUCAAACCCGCUCCCCCCUUCUUCUGGGAAGAGGAAGAAGCCAGCUUGUUGGUUGACAAACUGUAGGUUGCCCCUAUUGAGUCACUUUCCUCUGGAUUGUGCAAUCUGUAAGUAGCAUCAACUUUGUUGUGUGUAGUCCAUAUUGGACAUUUACCAUAAAACAUGUAAAUAUUGUAUAUACACUGUACAUAUUGU